rnacentral:rRNA from 1 species
AGGGAAUCUUCCACAAUGGACGGAAGUCUGAUGGAGCAACGCCGCGUGAGUGAUGAAGGUUUUCGGAUCGUAAAACUCUGUUGUAAGGGAAGAACCAGUACGUCAGGCAAUGGACGUACCUUGACGGUACCUUAUUAGAAAGCCACGGCUAACUACGUGCCAGCAGCCGCGGUAAUACGUAGGUGGCAAGCGUUGUCCGGAAUUAUUGGGCGUAAAGCGCGCGCAGGUGGUUUCUUAAGUCUGAUGUGAAAGCCCACGGCUUAACCGUGGAGGGUCAUUUGAAACUGUCGGGCUAGAGUGCAGGAGAGGUAAGUGGAAUUCCUAGUGUAGCGGUGAAAUGCGUAGAUAUUAGGAGGAACACCAGUGGCGAAGGCGGCUUACUGGACUGUAACUGACACUGAGGCUCGAAAGCGUGGGGAGCAAACA